rnacentral:rRNA from 1 species
CCUACGGGCGGCUGCAGUGGGGAAUAUUGCACAAUGGGCGCAAGCCUGAUGCAGCCAUGCCGCGUGUGUGAAGAAGGCCUUCGGGUUGUAAAGCACUUUCAGCGGGGAGGAAGGCGUUAAGGUUAAUAACCUUGUCGAUUGACGUUACCCGCAGAAGAAGCACCGGCUAACUCCGUGCCAGCAGCCGCGGUAAUACGGAGGGUGCAAGCGUUAAUCGGAAUUACUGGGCGUAAAGCGCACGCAGGCGGUCUGUCAAGUCGGAUGUGAAAUCCCCGGGCUCAACCUGGGAACUGCAUUCGAAACUGGCAGGCUAGAGUCUUGUAGAGGGGGGUAGAAUUCCAGGUGUAGCGGUGAAAUGCGUAGAGAUCUGGAGGAACACCGGUGGCGAAGGCGGCCCCCUGGACAAAGACUGACGCUCAGGUGCGAAAGCGUGGGGAGCAAACAGGAUUAGAUACCCCGGUAGUC